rnacentral:rRNA from 1 species
AUUGAACGCUGGCGGCAGGCCUAACACAUGCAAGUCGAACGGUAGCACAGAGAGCUUGCUCUCGGGUGACGAGUGGCGGACGGGUGAGUAAUGUCUGGGAAACUGCCCGAUGGAGGGGGAUAACUACUGGAAACGGUAGCUAAUACCGCAUAAUGUCGCAAGACCAAAGAGGGGGACCUUCGGGCCUCUUGCCAUCGGAUGUGCCCAGAUGGGAUUAGCUUGUUGGUGAGGUAAUGGCCCACCAAGGCGACGAUCCCUAGCUGGUCUGAGAGGAUGACCAGCCACACUGGAACUGAGACACGGUCCAGACUCCUACGGGAGGCAGCAGUGGGGAAUAUUGCACAAUGGGCGCAAGCCUGAUGCAGCCAUGCCGCGUGUGUGAAGAAGGCCUUCGGGUUGUAAAGCACUUUCAGCGGGGAGGAAGGCAAUGCGGUUAAUAACCGUGUUGAUUGACGUUACCCGCAGAAGAAGCACCGGCUAACUCCGUG